UCCGCGGGGCUCCGGCCGAGCCCGCGCCCCGCUACUCAAACCCAAGCACGUCUGGCCAAGAGAUCUUUUCUGCGCCUGGGAGGUUUUCGCUUCCUCAGUUCCCACCGCUGAGGCUGGUGGCUACCAAGUGUAGGAGAAAGUCCCCACGAGGAGAGGCAGGGGGGCGCGGAGACGGGCAGGCGACUCGGAGGGGUAGGAAGUAAACGCUGGACUCGAUCAUCUGUCUCCUUCUGCCUUUCAGAGCGGACCUGCCGCAGUGGGAGAGCUGUCAUUUCAGCACCGGGAUUUAGCAUUGAUCCAGUCAGCAGCCUAGGGGCCAGGUCCCAGCUCCCACUGACUGCUCUUUGCCUCAGGCUGGAGGCUGGAACUAUAGUUGUUAGUUUUUUUUUUUUUGUUUGUUUUUUGUUUUUUUGCUUUUUGAUUUUUUUUAAAUCACAGCCAGACUACAAUUAACGUCUUAUUUGUUCUGGCACCAAAGAGACUUUGCCAGAACCGCUGAGCAGGCUACCGAGAUCAGUCGUCCUGAACUGCUCUCUGCAUGGCGAUGGGACAAUAGUGCUGGUUCUAAACUUUUGAUUCGUUCUGGCUUCUUAAUGCAUUUAUUCCUUGUCAAGUUUUCCCUCGUAGCAAGUUCGGACGUCUGAAGAUGCAUCAGACAGACUUCACUUGCACACGCAGGUCAUUCGCCUGCUAGUUUUGUCUCUACUUGUAUACGCGCGGUUGGUGGUUUGCAAAAGGAGUGUUUGAAUAGUGUGCUUAUGUGGUGGGAGGAGACAAACAGGCAAGGCAUUUGAGCUGAGUCUUCCUAAGGGCGAGUUGCCUGAGCAGCAGGUGAAGUUGAAUGAAGCAAUUUUCCGUCAAUUGCUUUACUCUCUCAUUUGCAUUUUUUGUUCCUCUUCUUGUUCCUCUCCCCCGGGGCCAUUGCAUAGCCAAGAACAUGAUUUUCAAAAGAAGGCUACCAUGAAAACAAGAAGGUGCUGAUGGUCUUUUAUGCACCAGGAUUGUUUGUAAUAUUAAAAUUGGCUCUUUGGCUCUUUCCGUCUUAAUGCAUAUUAAUAGAAUGACCCUCUUCAAGGCUUUUCUCUUUUAGGACAAGCAUUGAAGCAGCAACCUGUAAAGGAAACAGUUAAUCAGUCUCCAGCAGGCUGCAACAAUGUUCCCAGGAACAAAUCACCAGGGAAAGCAGCCUGGGUGGCAUUUGGGUUUUGUGUCAUUUCUGGUCCAUUACAAUGCUUUUAUUCAUUUAAGGGAUUGUGAAAAGAAAAUGGUCUCAUAUGUCAAACGCGAAAUCCUAAAUACUGUGUAUAUAGGGAGCACAUUUUCUUAUAUGUAUUUAAAAAAAACGCAGACUAUUCUGCAGUGUAAAAGAGGAAAAUGUUUUGUUUAUUUCAACUUUCCAGAUAACAGUGGUCAUAAUACUUGCAAGACAUUUGGGUAAAUCUGUUAUUUGACCCAGAGCAAAAAAAGAAGAAAAGAGCACAAAUAAAUGUGCCAUAAAAAUGCAGAAAAAGGAAAAAGCUUCGCAUGGCAUAUACAUACAGAGAUAAAAUAAUGUGGGGUUAGUUAUAAUUCUCACUCAGCAGUGUCUUCUCCAGUUAUCAUUUAGCAGUGUGAUCUCGAUGUUUCUUAGAAAUCCCUGAAGUCAUAGCAGCAUGGAGUAAGAAUAACAGCCUGGGGGGACAAUUUUAAAAGGCUUAAUCCUUAAUGGAAAGGAGCACUCUCUUUCAGGAUCAUUUUAAUUCGAGUAGAAUGCAGGGCUGGGUCAGAAAGGAAAGCCACACUUAAUAAAACGCUUCACCCUUCACACCGGUUCCCAUAACCUUCAUAAAUUGCAGGCUACUGAGCUGCUCUGAUGAUGGUCCUGCUGAGGUAUAUUUAGAGCAGAUGAUUUGUAGAUGAUAAAUAUGCCAAGCUAGACACGCAGCCGCAGUAACCCGGGGCUCAUCUGACUUCCUCAGGGGGUCACAAUCGAGAAAAACAAGAGGAACUAUAGAAGGAGAAACUGGUCUCUGGACCCUGACAACACAGUCCAAAGCCAACCCAAGAAGGCAUUACUUUGUUUUUGCGCCUGCAUGGUGUUCCGUGGGAAAGCUUGGCUGUCAUUGAUUCAGUAACAAAAAGCAAACCAGGGUACACCGUGAACUCUGUGUCUUCAGAUGAUAAUUACCAGCUUUUACUAUCUAGUUCACACGUGCCUAUGUAUAUUCCUGUAUAUGUCCCACAUUUCCCACAUGUCUGUUAUACAUGCAUGUUUAUACAUGCAUACAUACACUUUUUCCUAACCUGUAUACAUGAAUAUGUGUGUGUGUGUGUGUGUGUGUGUGUGUGUGUGUGUGUGUGUGUGUGUAAUUUAUACAUGUAUUUUAUCCGGCCAUGUUGUAAAUAUACCUUUUCGAUAUCCCUGUUGACUUUCAAAAGGAAUGUUGAGAAAUCAGUGCUAACAUAUUCAAGUCUAAACUAUUAUUUUUAUAGCAUCACCAUAGUUCAACUUGGUCAGGGUUAUCUAAAGUUGAACAUCUUCACAAUACAUCCCCUAUAAUUUAUCUGUUCCAUUAAGAUCACUCCAAGAAAAUACUUCCAUGCAUAGUAUAUUUAAAUUUACCUUUUCACCCAACUUGAAACUUUCUACAUUUGAUAAAUGACCCCACUCUCCUAUAUUAUUGCUUAUAAUCCUGUGUCUUCUGCACAGCUCUCACCAAAUAAGAAGAAUAUGGUUCUAGAAUGCAUGUGAUCCAUUUUAAAGUAUUUCUUUUACUUGUUUUAUAUGCUUGUACCAUCUGCAUUUAUGUCUGUGCACCACUGGCAUGUAGGAAUCCUUAGAGGUCAGAAGAGACAUUGCAUCCCCUAGAAAUGGAAUUACAGAUGUUCAUAAGCGGCCAAGUGAGUGGUGGGAACCAAACCUGGAUCCCUCCCUCACAGGGUCAGUUAAUGCUCUUAACCAUGGAGCUACAGUUUUACCAAAAGCUUCCUCUUAUCCUCCCACAUAGUCUUUUGGAUAAUAUAUAGUGCCAUAUUCUAUAUUUUAUAGCUUAUCACUAUUAGUAAGAUUUUUAAAAGCAGACAUUAUGUAUAGUUUAUUCUUUGUUCAUACCACACUAUUUUUUUUUUAGCCAUAAGUGUCUUUAGUGUUGCAUGCACAAGAUUUGGAAAUGAAUCUCUUCCUCUGCCUUCUCCUUCUCUGUUUCCUUCUCCUGUCUAGUAUCUUCAGAGAUAAAAACUCUAAACACAUUAUUUGCUGAAAGCAUUAUUUGUUUAAAUAGUCAAAUGAUGAAAUGUUAAAAUAUUACAAGAUUGCACGGCUAUGCUAAAAAUGAAUGUUUAUCACCAACAGACCAGUUUACCUCUCCUCCUCAUUGUUUUUCUUAAAUUAUUUUUUCUUUAAUAGCAAAGUGUCUGAGUAACCAAGCGAAAGUCAGUCUCUCUAUCAAUAUUGGUCCUUUUUCUUCUCAGACAUUCCUGAAAAGAAAGACCAGGAUGAAGCAGUGAACUUAGCUGGGGUUAGGGAGGCAGGAGAGGCACCAAGAGAACUCUCCUGUUAGUACAGCCAAGUAUCAUCCCACUGGAUGUUAGGAUCAACUGGAGUUUAAUUAGCCACUGCUUCCUUGAAUCAUCUGCCAGUUUUAUUACUGUUUCCCAGCAUAAUGACACAAGAAGUUUCAAUAGCCGGUAGUCAUUACCUGUCAAUUUCUAGUCUCAUUCAUUGCAUUCGGGGAGACUUCCUGUCACAUAGAUGUAUUGCAGAAGUAACUUGGAAAAUGGGGACUUUAAAUGCUCAGAAUCCAAGCUUUCAGUGAUAUGGGAACUUAACCCCAAAUUAUUCUGUCAGUUACUCUUCUGUUUCUGUUUUAUCUUUGGUUUGGUUUGGUAUGAAGUUAUUGUAAUUAUGACCUUACCAUUCUUCAUCUCUGCAAGUUUAAUUCACUACAAGUAAGAUGUUUCAUUUUAACCAUGAAUUGGACAUGAAUUACUUACCUGUUUAUGAGCAUGAAGCUGUGGCCUCUCUUUAGAACUUACUUUAUAGGAAAGGGAAUGAAAUGAAUGAGUGUUAUUUUUUCUAAUAUUUUCUAAGUAAAGAAAUGUGUCUGUCAUUCAAGUUUUCUUAGUGAGCUGUGAACAAAGAGCUAGUCUCUCCAGACAAAGCACCAGUGACAGGAAACAUAAAAGUCUCAGCCAAGUCUAGCCUUGUGGGCCAAUGUAUUUUACUAAGGUGAUGUGGAAAAGAGGAGACGUACAAGAGCAGAGGUGACUUAGAAAAAAAAAAGCUUUGCCCCAAAGCCCAUGCCUUAAGGAGGAAGCUGAUCAUUGUCUGACUCACUGCUGGAUCUUCACAGAUCUCUUGUGGAAGUUGCCCUCCCCUGUACCUGCUUACCUCGUUAAUCAGCAGGAGGAAGGAUCUUGUCAAUCUGUAAUUUUCUCUCUUUUUUGGAAGAAAUUAUAGAAUAAGAGUUAUUGCAUCACACUCAAUAAUUACACAGCUAUUACAGACGAGAAAUAAGCAAUAAGAAAUAAGGGCAGAGGCAGAACAAUAUUGUUAGUAAUCUAGAUUGUAUAUAUGUUUGUCUACAGCUAACAGUGUUUAACACAGUGAGAGGAAAAGGGCUUCAUUUCUAUUUAUGGUAUAUGUAUGACAACAAUAAUGAUGAUAACUAAUGUAUUUUCAAUAAAUAAAAUAUUCUGAAAAAAAUUAAAA